rnacentral:lncRNA from 10 species
AUCUCAACACAGGUGGUGCGCAGUUAGAACUGCACUUAGAGGAAAAUUUCUAACCUUAAAUGAAUGCAUUAAAAAAGUGGAAAGCUAAAAAAUCAAGGAUCUAAGCUUAUAUCUUAAGAAAUUAAACCAAGACAAAAUUAAACCAAUAUAAAAUUAAACUAAAACAAAAUAGAAGCAACAAAAUCAUCAAUAUAUGUGCAGGUAAUAGAGAUGAAUUAACAACACCAAAGUAUACAAAUCAUGUAUUUCGAUAUUCUAGGGCACAAAAGUGUAUGUUUCUACAUACUAGCAACAACCAAUUAGGCCCCAUAAUGUGAUGCUGCUGUAAACCAAUUCCAGGUGGCUAAAAUUUCUUUUAAAAUACCUGAAAACUAACAAUAUCAGUUGUUCAUAAGGAUGUGAGACAGCUGAAACUUGCAUACUCUACUCCUGGGAAUGUAAGUUGAUCCUAGGAAAAUGUUUUGCAGUAUCUACUAAAACUAUACAGAUCAUAACCCAUGACUUAGAAAUUUCACUUCUAGAUAUGUGCCCCAAAUAAUAUAAAUACAUGUUCAUCAACACACAUGCAAGCAUGUUCAUAGAAACUAUUCAUGACAGUCUAUGACUGGAAACCACUCAAAUAUCCAACAUACUUAGACAAAUCAGUUCGAUGUGUAAAUAGAAUGUAUUGCACAAUAAAAAAGAAGAAAGACCUGCUUCAUGUAACAACAUAGAAGACUCUCACAGACAUAAUGGUGAAUAAAAUAAGUCACAAGAUACUAACUAUGGUAUUGUUACAUUUAUAAUAAGCAAAAGUGGGCAAAACAAAUCUAUUAUCAUAAGGAUCAGAAUAAUGGUUUCUCUCAUAGGGAAUAAGUAGAUUAUUACUAAGACAGGGCAGGAAGCAGGCUUCUGGGGAAUUGGUAAUGUUUUGUACCUUGAACCGCUGGAUCUAUGGUAACCAUAUUUGCAAAACUUUAUCAAGCCACAGAAUGUGCACUAAAUAUUAGUAUAUUUUACUAUUUAAUUAAAAAAGCAAAAUGAAACAAAUAUCUGAUCAUUUCACUCCCCCAUUUAAAACUAUUUAACAGCUUCUGUUUUAAAAAUUUACGGUAAAAUUCAGAUUGUUUGUGUCAGCUGACAAGGCCCUAGGUCGCCUGGUCCACGAGUCAUUCUCCAAGCUCAUCUCACACCACACUCCCUCUUCCCUCACCAUACUCCCUCUUCCCUCACCACACCCCAGCCUGAGGUCUGCUCCACCACAAACCCUGGAUUCCCACUUUUCCUUUUUUCUGAAAUGUUCUUCUCAGCUUGUCUCACGUGCCCAACUCUGCUCUCUGGGUCUCAGCUCAAGUGGUAUCUCACCACAAAGACCUUCCCUGGCCACUGUGUCUAAAUGGCCUUCUGCUGUGUUCCUCACUGGUCAGGGCCCCAGGGCAGCAGGGCCUCUGGCACCUUCACUGUUGGGUGCCCAACAUCUGCUAGUGCCUGCCACAUGGAAGGAACACGUGGGUAUUUGCUGAAGGCAUGAACCAUUCUGAUUCACUCUCAUAUGUCCUUUAGUCCAAUUUCCAGUGAUCUUUGUUUGCAACAGAGACUUUCGUCUCUCUUCUCCCUCUAGGAUGAAGGCUCUGUUGGUGCAGGAAUCGUGUUUGUUUUCCCAAUUUCUGUGUCUCGUUAGGGAGAGCAAUGCACAUUCUGCUGAAUAAAUAUUUUGAAUGAAAGAACGAAUGCAUGAGUGAAUAAUUUGGUGGCCAUGGUAAGGAAGUAAAAAUUAAAUGUUUUAACCAAGACUAUAUUAAUCUGAGUUUUCCCCCUAAACUUGAGACUUAUAGCUGCCUCUCUGUGCUACGAUAAAUGCUAAGAGCAUGCAAAGACCGAAGUCACAGGGCCUGCCCUGCACAAGCGUGAGGUUCAGAGACAGACAGAAGUGGGGAGGCCUGACUACAGUUUAGCUGCCUCACCAGACACCAUGGGAACAUGGCGUGGGGUGGAAAGGUUUCUUGAGAAAGUCUUGAGUCCUCAGAAUAUCCCAUCAUGAACAAAAUGAGCCAAGAUGCUUCACACAGGAAUUUCCAUGGUGGUGGGGACAAACCCAGUACUGACGUCCCAAGUCCCUAACUUUUACUUUCCGAAUAUAGUGUAUAAGAUAAAAUCCAAGAGGACAAACUAGCCCAAUUUAUACAGAAAGGCUUUGUGAAGUGAAAGAUGUAAGUAAAGCUAAGAGAAUAAGUAAAUAACCACCAGGUGUAUUUUAUGCCUUUGCUGAUAAUUAAUAAUUAGCUGACUUAAAUGUGAACCUGAUCUUCUUCAAACACUGAAAAACAACUUGAGUUAUACCCCAUGAAAAGGUUCUGAGUAGUAUUUAUUUAAUUAAAAAUUGUAAAAUCAGCCUUUAGAAAGUUUGUAUGUUUAUUUUAUUACAUCCCUGAGGCACAGCUCUUGGGAUAGAAAAAGGAUGGGGAGUAGCUGUGGGUUUUGAAACACUCUAUUUCAUCCUGGGCCUUUUCAUUUUAGUUUUUUUUUGAGAGAGGGUCUCACUCUUUUACCCAGGCAGGAAUGCAGUGGCAUAUUCAAGACUGUUGGAAGAAAACAUGGCACAUACAAUUUCCUAUCAGUAGUUUGCUAGGAGAAAAUGUCAGUUGUUUAGAAAAUACAAAAUAAUUUAACAUUGAACAAACGGCUGAUGCUACCAUCAGCUGUAUAAUUAGUAGGGUCCUCAAAAACAGCUACUGGACACAGUUUCAUGCUUAGAAUGCACAUAAGACAGUGAUAACACGAAAUCACACAGUAAUAUCACAGACGUGUUAAACCUUCAAGGAUUGUUGAAAUAGCACCAAGAAUGUUCACUGAACUGACCUUAGUUUCUAAGGUUUAUGCAAUCAUUUGAAUUUUACUAGCCCUAUCAAUAGUUAAGAAACAAAUUCAAAAAUGGAUUCUACCACUUCACAAGCAAACUUGCAAUUUAUAAAUCCUGGAAAUACAAGAAACUAACCAGUUGUAAAACCAGAGGAUAAUUUGGGAUGAAACGAGGUCAUUGGCCCAUAGGGAUUGUUUCCUCCAAUGGAGCCCCAUAAUUCGUAAAUCUGAAGAGGAUUUCACUUCCAGCAACAUGGUUUUGCUUUAAAAUUCCAAGUAGGGACCCCAGUGAGCUCCCCAAGGUUCGUCUUCACGGGGCCUUACUCUCACACCCGGUCAGUAUCUGUCCCUGUGCGGGGAGGAGGAGGUGGGAGACGAAUCAGCGAGCCAAGAGUCUUUUGUGCUCAGGUUAUGGGAUUUGAAGACCGUGUUUUCUUUUUCUUUCUCUUCUUUUUUUUUUUUUUUUUUUUUUUUUGAGACAGGAUCUCACGCUGUUGCCCAGGCUGGAGUGCACAGGCACAACCUUGGCUCACUGCAACCUCUGCCUCCCGGGCUCAAGCGAUUCUCCUGCCUCAGACUCCCGAGUAAGUGGGACCACAGGUGCCGCCAGGCCCAGCUAAUUUUCAUAUUUUUUAGUAGAGACGGGGUUUCACCAUGUUAUCCAGGCUGGUCUCAAACUCCUGGCCUCAGGUGAUCUGCCCACCUCGACCUCCCAAAGUGCCAGGACUACAGGCGUGAGCCACCGCACCCAGCUGAGAUUGUGUUUUCUUACGAAAACAAGGAUCUUUCCCAAGUCUCCCACCUGCUGUGGAAUUCCAUCCAGUGCGUGUCUAGUCAUCUCUUGCAUUUCAUGUGCAUAACAUUUCACUUUAGUCAACAGUCAUUUGUCUGGAGGCUGCUGGAGUCGUUCUCACAAGACCUCCACCUGUGGGAUGGGUGCGGCAAGCCAGAAUCCACCUACCAUUUGCCACUUCACCAUUCAACAACUAGUCAAAGUUGCAUUCCAAACACAAUAACCAAGGAAACCAGGCAGGAAAAGGCACCCGAGGGAGAGAAAGGAAAGGGCUGGGAAGAGGACAUCCCACCGAGGGCCUCCGAAGGCGCGACACCUUCCUGGGCGGCAUGGGGGUGUCACUCCUGCUGGAGGCGCUUCCUCCUACACCUGCUCCAGCAUCUGUGAGACCCACCAGAGACCGGCAGCUACUGGCUUUCUCCUCUCAACUCUAGAAGCGAUGCCACGGGAGGAUCACUGGCUGCAGGUCCCUCCCAUCGCGCCGGACGCUCCCCGCCAGGACCAGAUUCACGCGUGGCCAUCCCCACAG